rnacentral:lncRNA from 1 species
CUGGAAUUUCUUUGAAUAUAUUUUUGAUGUUGUUACAAAAGAAAAACCUUAAAAUUUAUAUAGUGUGCUACCAUAAUGCGUAGAGUAGAGUAUUUAGGUUGGCGAAGGAUAUAAUACAAAACAACACCACAAGAAUGUCACAUAUUCCUUCCAUCCAGGGAGUGUCAUCAAACCAUAAAAUAAUCAUAUACGCGAUAAAAAUGGGAAAUUUCCUGCAACAAAAUCGCCUACGUGUGAAGGCUUUGGUUGUUUACGCAUUUGAAUCUUCUAAAAUGUCAGUAUCCGCUAUAUUCUGUAUAAAUACGUGUAUAAUUAUCAUGCCCUGAAAGACGAUCUCAAGUACUACAAUCUUUAAUCUGGAGAGAUAAUGAUGAUGCAUAAAUUAAAACGAGUAGUCCUCAUGGCUUUAUAUUUGGAACCAUCAAAGAGUGUUAUAGACUCAAGAAACUGCCAGCACGGCUA